rnacentral:rRNA from 1 species
AGAGUUUGAUCCCAGCUCAGGAUGAACGCUAGCGGUGCGCUUAACACAUGCAAGUCGUGCGAUCGAACCGGACUGACCACCCUUCGGGGUACGAUGACCGGUCACGGAGCGGCGGACUGGUGAGUAACACGUAGCUAACCUGCCCUCUUGAUGGGGACAACCUUCUGAAAAGGAGGCUAAUACCCGAUGUUGUGCGGGGUCGAUGGGCCCCGUUCCAAAGGCGGUUCUGCCGUCGCAAGAGGAGGGGGCUGCGCCCUAUUAGCUUGUUGGUAGGGUAAUGGCCUACCAAGGCGAUAAUGGGUAGCUGGUCUGAGAGGAUGACCAGCCACAUUGGGACUGAGAUACGGCCCAGACUCCUACGGGAGGCAGCAGUGGGGAAUAUUGGCC